rnacentral:tRNA from 1 species
GAGGCUAUAGCUCAGUGGAAAAGCGCUUGCCCCGCAUGCAUGAGGCACUGAGUUCGAUCCUCAGCACCACG